rnacentral:rRNA from 1 species
GAUGAACGCUGGCGGCGUGCCUAAUACAUGCAAGUCGAACGCUGGAAAUCUAGCUUGCUAGAUUGAAGGAGUGGCGAACGGGUGAGUAAUACAUAAGCAACCUACCCACGAAGACUGGGAUAAUCUCUGGAAACGGGGACUAAUACCGGAUAGGUAAUCGGAAGGCAUCUUCUGCUUAUUAAAGGUUAAAAACACUGGUGGAUGGGCUUAUGGCGCAUUAGUUAGUUGGUGAGGUAACGGCCCACCAAGACGAUCAUUCGUAGCCGGCCUGGGCGGGUGGACGGCCACAUGGGGACAGAGACACGGCCAAGACGACUGAGGGAGGCAGCAGUAGGGAAUUGGCGGCAAUGGGGGAAACCCUGACCGAGCAACGCCGCGUGAGUGAUGACGGUCUUCGGGUUGUAAAGCUCUGUUGUAAGGGAAGAACGGUAGAUAGAGAAUAUCUAAAUGACGGUACCUUAACAGAAAGCUACGGCUAACUACGUG